rnacentral:lncRNA from 1 species
AUGCAGGGUUUCCUUCACCGGGAAGAGGGCAGGAGGAGGUGGUGGGGUGCAGGCAGCUCCCACCCCACUGUCACAAGCCUCUACGUGGCGCGGGUACCCCAGGGAUGUGGGUGGGGGCUCACCUGGGUUGCCUCUGCCAGGCUGAGCAUCUGGCUGUCCUUCAGGACCCAGGGGGUCACAUGCCAGGAGUGUCCCAAUUCUGCAUGGCGCUGCCACGAGCUGUCACCUGCACAGGGCCCAGAGCUGCUCCAUCACAGCUUUGUCACCCAUCACAUCCCGGCCCCCUCCCCCCAGUUACCCAUCACAGCCCUGGCUCCUGUCACAGCCUGGUCCCCACAGCUGCCCAUCAGAGCACGGCCCCCCAGGGUCAGGGAAAGGGGUUUGGGGUGGGGAGCCGGAACAGGGGGCUCCCAUGCUCACCCCAGCAGCUCCCGGGCUGUCCCCAGGCAAAACCUUGAGCAUCCCCCAACCAAACCACGCAGGAUGCUGGCUCUCAGCGGAGCCUGGGGGACGCCUGGACGGGACCCCACGGUGGGAGGGGGCAAGGGGAUGGGGAGCAAACGCCCCAGCCUCGGGAUGGGCUUCCCGGGGUCCCCUGCCAGGCCUUGCGUCAGCCCCAGCCCAGCUGCCCAGUACAACCAGCUCGGGGACCGGGGGAGGGCUGGGAGGCCCGGCCCAGCAGCCUCAGAGUCCUCCGGCAGCCCUCCCUUCCUCCCGGCUCCCCGGGGGAUCCCCGCUCUCCUGGACCCCGGGGGAGGCUGGAGGCGCAGGGGUCUCCCCCGGACCCCGCUCCCCACGGCCCCACCAGCCCGGGGAGCGCCGGUCCCCACGGCGCAACCGGCUCCGCGGCGGGACCAAACCGCCGUCCCCGAGGCGGAGGAGGCACCGAGCAUCCCGCGGGGCUGCGACCUCCGCACGGCCACCUCCCAGCUGCUGCCGGUCCCCGGGGGUCCCCGCGCGAUGCCCUGGAGGAAGCGAGGAACGGACCCCCGCAGGCCGGGGCGGGGAGGGACACGGCCCGCCGGGGCUCCCCGGCCCCGCUUACCUGCGCCGCUCCCGUUGGCCCCGGUGCUGGCGGCGAGGAGUAGCCCCGCGGCGAGGAGGAGGAGGAGGAGGAGGAGGAGGAGGAGCAGUCGCAGAGCCUGCACCCCCAUCGCCCCCCCCACGCCCCCCGCAGCCCGAACGGGGCUCGGCGGUCCUGGGCAGGCGGCUCCCGAGCUGACCCGCCGCGGCCGCCCCCGCCGACGCUCCCGCCGCGCAUAG